rnacentral:rRNA from 1 species
AUACGGAGGGUCCGAGCGUUAUCCGGAUUUAUUGGGUUUAAAGGGUGUGUAGGCGGAAGUGUAAGUCAGUGGUGAAAGCCCGCAGCUCAACUGCGGAAUUGCCAUUGAUACUGCAUUUCUUGAGUAUAAUUGAGGUGGGCGGAAUGUGUCAUGUAGCGGUGAAAUGCAUAGAUAUGACACAGAACACCGAUUGCGAAGGCAGCUCACUAAAUUAUUACUGACGCUGAGGCACGAAAGCGUGGGGAGCGAACAGGAUUAGAAACCCCGGUAGUCC